CCUACGGGUGGCAGCAGUGGGGAAUAUUGCACAAUGGGGGAAACCCUGAUGCAGCGACGCCGCGUGAAGGAAGAAGUUUUUAGGUAUGUUAACUUCUUUCAGCAGGGAAGAAAAUGACGGUACGUGUCUAAGAAGCCCCGGAUAACUACGUGCCACCAGCCGUGGUACUACGUCGGGGGCAAGCGUUAUACGGAUUUACUGGGUGUAAAGGGAGUGUAGGCGGUUUAGCAAGUCAGAAGGGAAAGCCCGGGGUUCAACUCCGGGACUGCUUUUGAAACUGUUGAACUAGAUUGCAGGAGAGGUAAGUGGAAUUCGUAGUGUAGCGGUGAAAUGCGUAGAUAUUAGGAGGAACACCAGUGGCGAAGGCGGCUUACUGGACUGUAAAUGACGCUGAGGCUCGAAAGCGUGGGGAGCAAACAGGAUUAGAUACCCGGGUAGUC
rnacentral:rRNA from 1 species